ACAACAUCAUGGGUAAGUGUUUAGAUGAAUACAUAAGUUAAACAUAACAUUGAUGUCCAAAGUUCUUUAGUAUAGCUGACAUGGAAUGUUAUUUAAAUACGCAAAGAUAGGAAGUGGGGGGAGGUGCACAGCUGGUGGGGAAGAAGGCACUCAGAACUGUGCCAACGAACAGUUUUGCUUGAAUAGCUGAAGAGCAUUAAAAUUAGGAGAAUACAAUGAGCAGAUAAGAAUCAUGUGUAUAAUUAACUCCAAAUUUUCAUUUGACAUAAUAAAGGUCACUCUUUCAUCAAUGACCAUUUCAUCUAAUCAUACUUUUUUUAAAGCAAUAAGUAAAAUUUUAAUAUAGCUUGUCAAAUAGAUGCCUAAAAUAUCCCAAUCCAAUAUCUAUUUUACUAUUCUGUUCUGUGCUAUGAACUGUAUAAGUUUUGAAAAAGAAAUCCUUUUUUUUUUUUCCAAUUCACUAGCCCACAUUUGUAAUUGAGCUGGUAAUCUCUACCUCUCACCUCUAUCACCCCCAGUUAAAACUAUUGAGAACCACAGCUUCAUAGAGCACUUUGGGUACACAAGGACACAUGGUAAGAAAUGUGACCUUUUUCUAUCAUCAAGUCAGAGUGUCUCACAUUUUCUUGUGUUUUCACUGAUGAAUUUAAAACCUCAGCAGUAGUCAAGUUCAUA
rnacentral:lncRNA from 1 species